CCGCCUGGGGAGUACGGUCGCAAGAUUAAAACUCAAAGGAAUUGACGGGGACCCGCACAAGCGGUGGAUGAUGUGGAUUAAUUCGAUGCAACGCGAAAAACCUUACCUACCCUUGACAUGCCACUAACGAAGCAGAGAUGCAUUAGGUGCUCGAAAGAGAAAGUGGACACAGGUGCUGCAUGGCUGUCGUCAGCUCGUGUCGUGAGAUGUUGGGUUAAGUCCCGCAACGAGCGCAACCCUUGUCUCUAGUUGCUACGAAAGGGCACUCUAGAGAGACUGCCGGUGACAAACCGGAGGAAGGUGGGGAUGACGUCAAGUCCUCAUGGCCCUUAUGGGUAGGGCUUCACACGUCAUACAAUGGUGCAUACAGAGGGUUGCCAAGCCGCGAGGUGGAGCUAAUCCCAGAAAAUGCAUCGUAGUCCGGAUCGUAGUCUGCAACUCGACUACGUGAAGCUGGAAUCGCUAGUAAUCGCGGAUCAGCAUGCCGCGGUGAAUACGUUCNCCGGGUCUUGUACACAC
rnacentral:rRNA from 1 species